rnacentral:rRNA from 1 species
GAGUUUGAUCCUGGCUCAGAUUGAACGCUGGCGGCAGGCCUAACACAUGCAAGUCGAGCGGAUGACGGGAGCUUGCUCCUUGAUUCAGCGGCGGACGGGUGAGUAAUGCCUAGGAAUCUGCCUGGUAGUGGGGGACAACGUUUCGAAAGGAACGCUAAUACCGCAUACGUCCUACGGGAGAAAGCAGGGGACCUUCGGGCCUUGCGCUAUCAGAUGAGCCUAGGUCGGAUUAGCUAGUUGGUGGGGUAAUGGCUCACCAAGGCGACGAUCCGUAACUGGUCUGAGAGGAUGAUCAGUCACACUGGAACUGAGACACGGUCCAGACUCCUACGGGAGGCAGCAGUGGGGAAUAUUGGACAAUGGGGGCAACCCUGAUCCAGCCAUGCCGCGUGAGUGAAGAAGGCCU